UUCACGGCGGCCGACAAUUUCCGAGUUUAGCCACUUAUUAUAAAAUUCUAUGAUUAAGUAUAGUGAGUGGCUAAACUCAGAAAUGGUCGGCCGCCGUGAAACC
rnacentral:pre_miRNA from 1 species